rnacentral:rRNA from 1 species
UAAGUGAAGAGUUUGAUCCUGGCUCAGAGUGAACGCUGGCGGUAGGCCUAACACAUGCAAGUCGAACGGCAGCACAGGAGAGCUUGCUCUCUGGGUGGCGAGUGGCGGACGGGUGAGGAAUACAUCGGAAUCUACUUUUUCGUGGGGGAUAACGUAGGGAAACUUACGCUAAUACCGCAUACGACCUACGGGUGAAAGCAGGGGAUCUUCGGACCUUGCGCGAUUGAAUGAGCCGAUGUCGGAUUAGCUAGUUGGCGGGGUAAAGGCCCACCAAGGCGACGAUCCGUAGCUGGUCUGAGAGGAUGAUCAGCCACACUGGAACUGAGACACGGUCCAGACUCCUACGGGAGGCAGCAGUGGGGAAUAUUGGACAAUGGGCGCAAGCCUGAUCCAGCCAUACCGCGUGGGUGAAGAAGGCCUUCGGGUUGUAAAGCCCUUUUGUUGGGAAAGAAAUCCAGCUGGUUAAUACCCGGUUGGGAUGACGGUACCCAAAGAAUAAGCACCGGCUAACUUCGUGCCAGCAGCCGCGGUAAUACGAAGGGUGCAAGCGUUACUCGGAAUUACUGGGCGUAAAGCGUGCGUAGGUGGUC